rnacentral:misc_RNA from 1 species
UUUUUAAUGGUUAAUUUGCUGUAUCUGUCUCAGUUCCUUAUGUAUCAUAGUAUGUGGUUUACAAUGUCUAGAGGUAUCAUGAAACUGCAGAUCAUCUAGCUGUACAUUGUUCUUCUGCUUAUGGGACACUAUCUUUGUCUUUUGCUUAAAUUGUUUCUGACUGAUGCCUUGAUCUGUGGGAAACUUUUUGGAUUGAUGGCAUGGAAUUGGAGGAAUGGGUGAAUAAGGAUUUUCUUUGAGAGCAGUCCAUGCUUGCCUGUUGUGAUUUUUGGGGUUAAAAGAAACCUUAUGAGUGAGAGGAAAUUGGCAAUCGAAAUGAAGGUCUUGAGAAUGGUUCUCUUAGGCUUUCUAUCUGUCUCAUAUGUUACAGUAUUCUCUUUCUUCAUAUGUCAAUUUUCUGAGUUCUUUAAGUCUUUAAGUUUUAUUAGGAAAUUUCUUUUGAUUCUUUGUUUAUGAAUUAGGUUGUGCAUCUUUGGUUCUUAAAAAGUUUCUCAAAAUCCUUUUAGUUACUAAAGCCUAGCUAUCAUGUAAGAGGAUUGAUGAGAUCGCAUCAAGGAUCCAGCUUAUGUUAUUUAUGUUGUUUUCAUCAGUUUAUACAGCAUAACAACAACUAAGCUUUAAUCCCAAACUAGUUGGGGUUGACUAUACUAUAUAAAUCAUUUACCAUUCAACUCUAUUAAACACCAAAUUCCCCUCAAUAUCCAAAACUUAUAAAUCA